rnacentral:rRNA from 1 species
UUGGAGAGUUUGAUCCUGGCUCAGGACGAACGCUGGCGGCGUGCCUAAUACAUGCAAGUCGAACGCUUCUUUUUCCACCGGAGCUUGCUCCACCGGAAAAAGAGGAGUGGCGAACGGGUGAGUAACACGUGGGUAACCUGCCCAUCAGAAGGGGAUAACACUUGGAAACAGGUGCUAAUACCGUAUAACAAUCAAAACCGCAUGGUUUUGAUUUGAAAGGCGCUUUCGGGUGUCGCUGAUGGAUGGACCCGCGGUGCAUUAGCUAGUUGGUGAGGUAACGGCUCACCAAGGCCACGAUGCAUAGCCGACCUGAGAGGGUGAUCGGCCACAUUGGGACUGAGACACGGCCCAAACUCCUACGGGAGGCAGCAGUAGGGAAUCUUCGGCAAUGGACGAAAGUCUGACCGAGCAACGCCGCGUGAGUGAAGAAGGUUUUCGGAUCGUAAAACUCUGUUGUUAGAGAAGAACAAGGAUGAGAGUAACUGUUCAUCCCUUGACGGUAUCUAACCAGAAAGCCACGGCUAACUACGUGCCAGCAGC